GGCGAACGGGUGAGUAACACGUGGGUGAGCUGCCUCGUACUUUGGGAGAAGCCUGGGAAACUGGGUCUAAUACCGAAUAUGACCUUGAGAUGCAUGUCUCUUGGUGGAAACUUUUUUGGCUACGAGAUGGGCCCGCGGCCUAUCAGCUUGUUGGUGGGGUAAUGGCCUACCAAGGCGACGACGGGUAGCCGGCCUGAGAGGGCGACCGGCCACACUGGGACUGAGACACGGCCCAGACUCUUACGGGAGGCAGCAGUGGGGAAUAUUGCACAAUGGGCGCAAGCCUGAUGCAGCGACGCCGCGUGAGGGAUGACGGCCUUCGGGUUGUAAACCUCUUUCACCAGGGACGAAGAGUGAUUGACGGUACCUGGAGAAGAAGCACCGGCCAACUACGUGCA
rnacentral:rRNA from 1 species